UACAGAGGGGGCGAGCGUUGUUCGGAAUUACUGGGCGUAAAGGGCGCGUAGGCGGCCCUCUAAGUCGAACGUGAAAUCCCCGGGCUCAACCCGGGAACUGCGUCCGAUACUGGGGGGCUCGAAUCCGGGAGAGGGAUGUGGAAUUCCAGGUGUAGCGGUGAAAUGCGUAGAUAUCUGGAGGAACACCGGUGGCGAAGGCGGCAUCCUGGACCGGUAUUGACGCUGAGGCGCGAAAGCCAGGGGAGCAAACGGG
rnacentral:rRNA from 1 species